UUUAACUGAAGAGUUUGAUCAUGGCUCAGAUUGAACGCUGGCGGCAGGCUUAACACAUGCAAGUCGAGCGGGGGAAGGUAGCUUGCUACNGGACCUAGCGGCGGACGGGUGAGUAAUGCUUAGGAAUCUGCCUAUUAGUGGGGGACAACAUCUCGAAAGGGAUGCUAAUACCGCAUACGUCCUACGGGAGAAAGCAGGGGA
rnacentral:rRNA from 1 species